rnacentral:rRNA from 1 species
UACGGGAGGCAGCAGUGGGGAAUAUUGCACAAUGGGGGAAACCCUGAUGCAGCGACGCCGCGUGGAGGAAGAAGGCCUUCGGGUUGUAAACUCCUGUCGUAAGGGACGAUAGUGACGGUACCUUACAAGAAAGCCACGGCUAACUACGUGCCAGCAGCCGCGGUAAAACGUAGGUGGCAAGCGUUGUCCGGAAUUACUGGGUGUAAAGGGAGCGCAGGCGGGUCUGCAANUUGGAAGUGAAACCCAUGGGCUCAACCCAUGAACUGCUUUCAAAACUGCGGAUCUUGAGUGGUGUAGAGGUAGGCGGAAUUCCCGGUGUAGCGGUGNAAUGCGUAGAUAUCGGGAGGAACACCAGUGGCGAAGGCGGCCUACUGGGCACUAACUGACGCUGAGGCUCGAAAGCAUGGGUAGCAAACAGGAUUAGAUACCCUGGUAGUCCAUGCCGUAAACNAUNAUUACUAGGUGUGGGAGGAUUGACCCCUUCCGUGCCGCAGUNAACACAAUAANUAAUCCACCUGGGGAGUACGACCNCAAGGUUGAAACUCAAANGAAUUNACGG